rnacentral:rRNA from 1 species
GAUGAACGCUGGCGGCGUGCCUAACACAUGCAAGUCGAACGGGAACCCGAUUUCGGUUGGGAGAGAGUGGCGAACGGGUGAGUAACACGUUGGUGACCUGCCCCGAGGUGGGGGAUAACUGUCGGAAACGACAGCUAAUACCCCGGAUGUAGCUGGACUUAGAAGCCAGCCACUAAAGCUACGGUGCCUGGGGAGGGGCCUGCGGGCUAUCAGCUAGUUGGUGAGGUAAUAGCUCACCAAGGCCGAGACGGCUAGGGGGCGUGAGAGCGUGGCCCCCCACAAUGGAACUGAGACACGGUCCAUACUCCUACGGGAGGCAG